rnacentral:lncRNA from 1 species
UGAGGUAAUCCAAUGGCAGUUUACAACCCAGUGCCUACCGUAAUGUCGGCCACAGUAACUGAGACCUUCCAGUCUGUUGUACCUUAACCGGGUGAGCAGAAAAACCCUAGUUCAAUGAUUUCUCUCAUGUCAUCUUUUUUUGGGGAUUUCAUCAUUAACUUUUUUUUCUUUCAGCUCCAAUAGUAGUUUGCAACACACAGCCCACCGUCAUGCUCCCACCUGCCCUGGGUGAGCAGAAAGAGACACUCUGCCUCGGACACUAAAAGUUUUCAGCAUACACAUGAUGCAUCUGUACAUUACAGGUUUAUGAUGGUAUUAUAUUUGUCUCUCCAUGUAACUGCAGUGGUAGCUAGCUUCACGUCCUCGUCUGACUGAGUUCCCGGGGCAGAUGAAAUGUCCUCGCUGUCAGCUAGAGGUCGUCACAGAGACAAUCUUCAUCAGUGGCCUGAUGACAUGGGCCAUCGCUGCAGGUCUUGCCCUUUUAAUAAUCUGGCCGUGUUGUUUGAUCCCUUUUUGUUGGAAUUCCUGCAAGGACGUAGCACAUCGCUGCCCAAUAUGCAAAAGUGUCAUCUAUGUGUACAAACGCACAUGCUGAAAUAAAGAAAUCAUGGAAGACCAAACAUCUUUAGCGCCAACAUCUUCUGGACAGUACUGGGUUUUCUAAAGAAAAACAACAUUAUAACAUGCAAAAGGCUGAUGUAUUUCCUGCUUUAUUAAAAAAAUAUAUGCACAUGUAUUUAUAUAUAUAUAUAUAUAUAUAUAUUGCAUAAAUAGGGAAAGUGAAACUCAUUGGCUUGUCAUGUCAUCGUGGUGUUUUCUUUUGAAUUGUGAAGUUAUAUAUUGAUAUAUAUUUUUAUAUGAUAUAUGAUUUUUCCUUUUUUUGUUCUUUUUUUAAAUUGUAAAUUCAUAAUGAACUGCAGAAUGUAGGCUUUUUUUUUUUUUGUUGGCAUUUUUACAUACAAGUUUAUUUCAAUGUUUGUAACAAUGUUUGAAUGCAUGUAACAAUCAUGCCUUUGAAUGUUCUACUGCAUUCUACUGCAAGUUGUGAAGUCAGCGAAAAUUAACAAAAUGAUUUGAUUGCGACAGAACUAAGGGAACGUUCCAAUGUUUUAGCUAAGCUAUCCACACGUCCUACUAAAACGUUUCAGAACUAUAUAAUUA